rnacentral:rRNA from 1 species
GGCCUACGGGGCGCAGCAGUGGGGAAUAUUGCACAAUGGGGGAAACCCUGAUGCAGCGACGCCGCGUGAGCGAUGAAGUAUUUCGGUAUGUAAAGCUCUAUCAGCAGGGAAGAAAAUGACGGUACCUGACUAAGAAGCCCCGGCUAACUACGUGCCAGCAGCCGCGGUAAUACGUAGGGGGCAAGCGUUAUCCGGAUUUACUGGGUGUAAAGGGAGCGUAUACGGCGGCGCAAGCCAGAUGUGAAAGCGUGGGGUUC